rnacentral:lncRNA from 1 species
GUACAUAUGGGGUCUCCAGCCCCUUCAAGCUCUUCCAGUUCUUUCUCUGAUUCCUUCAGCGGGGGUCCUAUUCUCAAUUCAGUGGUUUGCUGCUGGCAUACGCCUCUGUAUUUGCUGUAUUCUGGCUGUGUCUCUCGGGAGAGAUCUACAUCCGGCUCCUGUCGGCCUGCACUUCUUUGCUUCAUCCAUCUUGUCUAAUUGGAUGGCUGUAUAUGUAUGGGCCACAUGUGGGGCAGGCUCUGAAUGGGUGUUCCUUCUGUGUCUGUUUUAAUCUUUGCCUCUCUAUUCCCUGCCAAGGGUAUUCUUGUUCCCCUUUUAAAGAAGGAGUGAAGCAUUCACAUUUUGAUCAUCCGUCUUGAGUUUCAUUUGUUCUAGGCAUCUAGGGUAAUUCAAGCAUUUGGGCUAAUAGCCACUUAUCAAUGAGUGCAUACCAUGUGUGUUUUUCUGUGAUUGGGUUACCUCACUCAGGAUUAUAUUUUCCAGUUCCGACCAU